rnacentral:rRNA from 1 species
ACGGAAGGCAGCAGUGGGGAAUAUUGGGCAAUGGGGGAAACCCUGACCCAGCAACGCCGCGUGAAGGAAGAAGGCCCUCGGGUUGUAAACUUCUUUUACCAGGGACGAUAAUGACGGUACCUGGAGAAAAAGCAACGGCUAACUACGUGCCAGCAGCCGCGGUAAUACGUAGGUUGCAAGCGUUGUCCGGAUUUACUGGGUGUAAAGGGCGUGUAGGCGGAACUGCAAGUCAGAUGUGAAAUCCCGGGGCUCAACCCCGGAACUGCAUUUGAAACUGUAGUCCUUGAGUAUUGGAGAGGCAAGCGGAAUUCCUAGUGUAGCGGUGAAAUGCGUAGAUAUUAGGAGGAACACCAGUGGCGAAGGCGGCUUGCUGGACGACAACUGACGCUGAGGCGCGAAAGCGUGGGGAGCAAACAGGAUUAGAUACCCUGGUA